AUAAUAGACUCAUUCAUUACAUUCAUGUUUUGCUGUUGCAGCAUGCCUAUCGUGAUGGUCGCCUGGAAGAAGUUGUUCUGCGGCAUCUUGGAUCUGAAGAUGGAAACAGUGUAAUUGCUAAAGACAUAAGGCUUUCUGAAUUCCUUGGUAAUUUGCAUCUAAGGUGAUAAGAACUGGCUGGGAAAGCUUCCAAGUGACUCAUUCUGAAGUUGGUUGCUGGGGACCCAAAAGCUGGACUUAAACGGGAAUGUAUUAAUAAACAGCUUUCACUAUGAACUAAGGUGGUUAGGGAAGAAAUGGAUGAAACAAAAUGGAUUAUUAUGCUGAGGCUUGAAGAUUUUUGAGAAUUUCCUUUUGGAGCAUUGUCUCAUGGAUCCCCAAUGGUAGCAUCCUUGAAAGGGUUCACAAUAAUGUGCAAUGAAUAGUUGUGCAUGUACGUGGCGAUCUCCAGACCGUCAUUGUUACAUUAAGACUCAAUAUAUAUAUAUAUAUAUAUAUACGGGUUUAGCUAUUAAAUUUGUCAAUAUGAUGAGAUUUUAUAGGAAAAUAUCUUUGGAAGUUUGUAUGUUCAUGAAUUAUUCCAGAGGAACAAUACUAUGGCAUUAGUUAUGCAGGCAUGAAAUUGUGCUUUGCAGAGCAGAAGUAACAGAUUUUCUGUUUUUCUUUUUUAAAAAUUUAAUUAGUAACUGGAAAUUCUUUGCAUAACGUUUCUAAUGGGAGUUGAAGAUUAGUUGUGGUU